CGCGUCUUANCAUGCAAGUCGAACGAUGAACCACUUCGGUGGGGAUUAGUGGCGAACGGGUGAGUAACACGUUGGGCAAUCUGCCCUGCACUCUGGGACAAGCCCUGGAAACGGGGUCUAAUACCGGAUACUGACCCGCCUGGGCAUCCAGGCGGUUCGAAAGCUCCGGCGGUGCAGGAUGAGCCCGCGGCCUAUCAGCUUGUUGGUGAGGUAACGGCUCACCAAGGCGACGACGGGUAGCCGGCCUGAGAGGGCGACCGGCCACACUGGGACUGAGACACGGCCCAGACUCCUACGGGAGGCAGCAGA
rnacentral:rRNA from 1 species